rnacentral:rRNA from 1 species
GUUGAUAGGCCGGGAGUGUAAGGGCAGCAAUGCCUUCAGCGGACCGGUACUAAUAGGUCGAGGGCUUGACCUACGUUUU